rnacentral:lncRNA from 1 species
CUUGUCGGUUUCCACAGGUGGACCAAAGGCCACCAAUCCUACAUAGGCCUACGCCUAAACCUGUCUCAAUACGCAGCGUCUCUCGCUCGCAAAUGCAGACCCAAUCAUGAUCGGGCGAAAUUCUCACUUGGGAAUUCACACACACUCCAACCAAGGCUAACCACCCGACUCGCUCUUGAGUCAAUCGUCUGCGGAGUACCGCACUAGAACCAAGCUCGAGGCGAUGGACGUCUCACAUACACCUCAACCUUAAAUCCUCUCGACUAGGAUACCAAAUCCAUAACUCAUAAUGCAUACUUGUUGUACAUUCAUUUGGCUAUGACCCAAUCUUACCGGUUAACCAUGUUAACCCCAAUAACUCACAACCAAAUCCCUUAAUAACGGGGGACUCGAACCUCCCUAGGGACCGUCAACUGGUGGGACUUUACCACGCCCAGUGGUGACCAACUCCGGAGCGCACCGCCCGAGGGGGAGCUACCUCCCUCAAGCCAAGACGUAACGUGAGU